UUGAACGCUGGCGGCAGGCCUAACACAUGCAAGUCGAACGGUAACAGGAAGAAGCUUGCUUCUUUGCUGACGAGUGGCGGACGGGUGAGUAAUGUCUGGGAAACUGCCUGAUGGAGGGGGAUAACUACUGGAAACGGUAGCUAAUACCGCAUAACGUCGCAAGACCAAAAAGGGCGACCUUCGGGCCUCCUGCCAUCGGAUGUGUCCAGAUGGGAUUAGCUAGUAGGUGGAGUAACGGCUCACCUAGGCGACGAUCCCUAGCUGGUCUGAGAGGAUGACCAGCCACACUGGAACUGAGACACGGUCCAGACUCCUACGGGAGGCAGCAGUGGGGAAUAUUGCACAAUGGGCGCAAGCCUGAUGCAGCCAUGCCGCGUAUAUGAAGAAGGCCUUCGGGUUGUAAAGUACUUUCAGCGGGGAGGAAGGGAGUAAAGUUAAUACCUUUGCUCAUUGACGUUACCCGCAGAAGAAGCACCGGCUAACUCCGUG
rnacentral:rRNA from 1 species